rnacentral:rRNA from 1 species
GAGUUUGAUCAUGGCUCAGAACGAACGCUGGCGGCAGGCCUAACACAUGCAAGUCGAGCGCGCCUUUCGGGGUGAGCGGCGGACGGGUUAGUAACGCGUGGGAAUAUACCCUUUUCUACGGAAUAGCCUCUGGAAACGGAGAGUAAUACCGUAUGAGCCCUUUGGGGGAAAGAUUUAUCGGGAAAGGAUUAGCCCGCGUUAGAUUAGGUAGUUGGUGGGGUAAUGGCCUACCAAGCCUACGAUCUAUAGCUGGUUUUAGAGGAUGAUCAGCAACACUGGGACUGAGACACGGCCCAGACUCCUACGGGAGGCAGCAGUGGGGAAUCUUGGACAAUGGGGGCAACCCUGAUCCAGCCAUGCCGCGUGAGUGAUGAAGGCCUUAGGGUCGUAAAGCUCUUUCGCCUGUGAAGAUAAUGACGGUAGCAGGUAAAGAAACCCCGGCUAACUCCGUGCCAGCAGCCGCGGUAAUACGGAGGGGGUUAGCGUUGUUCGGAAUUACUGGGCGUAAAGCGCACGUAGGCGGACCAGAAAGUUGGGGGUG